rnacentral:rRNA from 1 species
UACGUAGGUGGCAAGCGUUGUCCGGAAUUAUUGGGCGUAAAGAGCGCGCAGGUGGUUGAUUAAGUCUGAUGUGAAAGCCCACGGCUUAACCGUGGAGGGUCAUUGGAAACUGGUCGACUUGAGUGCAGAAGAGGGAAGUGGAAUUCCAUGUGUAGCGGUGAAAUGCGUAGAGAUAUGGAGGAACACCAGUGGCGAAGGCGGCUUCCUGGUCUGUAACUGGCACUGAGGCGCGAAAGCGUGGGGAGCAAACAGGAUUAGAUA